CAGUCGCCGCGGUAAUGCGAAGGGGGCUAGCGUUGCUCGGAAUUACUGGGCGUAAAGGGAGCGUAGGCGGACAUUUAAGUCAGGGGUGAAAUCCCAGAGCUCAACUCUGGAACUGCCUUUGAUACUGGGUGUCUUGAGUGUGAUAGAGGUAUGUGGAACUCCGAGUGUAGAGGUGAAAUUCGUAGAUAUUCGGAAGAACACCAGUGGCGAAGGCGACAUACUGGAUCAUUACUGACGCUGAGGCUCGAAAGCGUGGGGAGCAAACAGGAUUAGAUACCCCUGUAGUCCCUGUCUCUUAUCA
rnacentral:rRNA from 1 species